rnacentral:tRNA from 1 species
AUCUGCGUAGCAUAAUGGAAGAAUGCAACGGACUUCUAAUCCGUUUUUUCGGGAUUCCUGCGGAAUCCUUAUCGCACCCGCUUCGCGGGUUUGGAGGACUGCAGGUUCGAAUCCUGUCGCAGAUA